rnacentral:rRNA from 1 species
CAGGCCUAACACAUGCAAGUCGAGCGGAUGAGAAGAGCUUGCUCUUCGAUUCAGCGGCGGACGGGUGAGUAAUGCCUAGGAAUCUGCCUGGUAGUGGGGGACAACGUUUCGAAAGGAACGCUAAUACCGCAUACGUCCUACGGGAGAAAGCAGGGGACCUUCGGGCCUUGCGCUAUCAGAUGAGCCUAGGUCGGAUUAGCUAGUUGGUGAGGUAAUGGCUCACCAAGGCGACGAUCCGUAACUGGUCUGAGAGGAUGAUCAGUCACACUGGAACUGAGACACGGUCCAGACUCCUACGGGAGGCAGCAGUGGGGAAUAUUGGACAACGGGCGAAAGCCUGAUCCAGCCAUGCCGCGUGUGUGAAGAAGGUCUUCGGAUUGUAAAGCACUUUAAGUUGGGAGGAAGGGCAUUAACCUAAUACGUUAGUGUUUUGACGUUACCGACAGAAUAAGCACCGGCUAACUCUGUGCCAGCAGUCGCGGUAAUACAGAGGGUGCAAGCGUUAAUCGGAAUUACUGGGCGUAAAGCGCGCGUAGGUGGUUUGUUAAGUUGGAUGUGAAAGCCCCGGGCUCAACCUGGGAACUGCAUCCAAAACUGGCAAGCUAGAGUACGGUAGAGGGUGGUGGAAUUUCCUGUGUAGCGGUGAAAUGCGUAGAUAUAGGAAGGAACACCAGUGGCGAAGGCGACCACCUGGACUGAUACUGACACUGAGGUGCGAAA